GAUGAACGCUGGCGGCGUGCCUAAUACAUGCAAGUCGAGCGAACAGACGAGGAUCUUGCUCCUCUUACGUUAGCGGCGGAUGGGUGAGUAACACGUGGACACCCUACCUAUAAGACUGGGAUAACUUCGGGAAACCGGAUAUAACACCGGAUAAUAUAUUGAACCGCAUGGUUCAAUAGUGCAAGACCGUUUUGCUGUCCCUUAUAGAUGGAUCCGCGCCGCAUUAGCGAGUUGGUAGGGUAACGGCUUACCAAGGCUACGAUGCGUAGCCGACCUGAGAGGGUGAUCAGCCACACUGGAACUGAGACACGGUCCAGACUCCUACGGGAGGCAGCAGUAGGGAAUCUUCGGCAAUGGGCGAAAGCCUGACGCAGCAACGCCGCGUGAGUGAUGAAGGUCUUCGGAUCGUAAAGCUCUGUUAUUAGGGAAGAACAAAUGUGUAAGUAACUAUGCACGUCUUGACGGUACCUAAUCAGAAAGCCACGGCUAACUACGUG
rnacentral:rRNA from 1 species